GAAGGGUGCAGCUCAAGUGGUAGAGCACAUGCAUAGCAUGCAUGAGGCCCUGGGUUCAAUCCUCAGAACCUCCU
rfam:Camelus ferus unplaced genomic scaffold scaffold2108, whole genome shotgun sequence.